UACGAAGGGGGCUAGCGUUGCUCGGAAUCACUGGGCGUAAAGGGUGCGUAGGCGAGUUUUUAAGUCAGGGGUGAAAUCCUGGAGCUCAACUCCAGAACUGCCUUUGAUACUGAAGAUCUUGAGUUCGGGAGAGGUGAGUGGAACUGCGAGUGUAGAGGUGAAAUUCGUAGAUAUUCGCAAGAACACCAGUGGCGAAGGCGGCUCACUGGCCCGAUACUGACGCUGAGGCACGAAAGCGUGGGGAGCAAACAGG
rnacentral:rRNA from 1 species